GUCCACGCCGUAAACGUUGGGCACUAGGUGUGGGGCUCUAUCGACGGGCUCCGUGCCGUAGCUAACGCAUUAAGUGCCCCGCCUGGGGAGUACGGCCGCAAGGCUAAAACUCAAAGGAAUUGACGGGGGCCCGCACAAGCGGCGGAGCAUGUGGCUUAAUUCGAUGCAACGCGAAGAACCUUACCUGGGUUGAACUAUGCAGGAAAAGCCGUAGAGAUACGGUGUCCUUCGGGGCCUGCGAUAGGUGGUGCAUGGCUGUCGU
rnacentral:rRNA from 1 species